rnacentral:lncRNA from 1 species
AUGUAGAUUUCUUUUCCUACUGCAGUUUCAUAUGCAAAGCAUGCAUCAGCCACAUCCAUGCUAUCUCCUAAAGCAGUCAUUCUGAAACCCAAUCUGGGGACAGUGCAGACUAAAUAAAAUUUCAUUUUGAUUUGGCCUCCCGCUGCGAAUGGGACUGCUUUGUCUCAGCCGACAGAACCAGCAAGCCAGAAAGGGAAUGAAGACAUUUGGAGAAGAAGCGUUUACUGAAAGGAGAUUCCUGGGCUGGAGGAAAACCAUGAUCUACAGUUCAUGUUGACAGAUAUUGUAUUUUUGGUCCUAGAUCUGACUUUUGAAAUGACUUAUCACAAAUUCAAAUUUAGCAAUCAUGAGUGAAGUACCCACGAUGUGCUAAGCAUCUACCUCUGCAGAUAGAAGAACACUUACUGUUCCUGAGCAUGGGAGGGAAUAGAAGUUCCUGGGUCCUGGCCUCACCUCAUCAGGCACUGCCAAAUUUGACACCUCCUUCCUGUUCACGGCAGUCCUUUGCGAUAGGGUAUUAGAUGCCACCAAGUAGCUGCAUAACUCACCCAUUUGGUCAGAGCCUGGGUCUAAGCCAGGUCUGACAGACUCCAAAGCAAGCCCUGUUUACAGCAUGACUGGGAUCCAGUGGACGAGGGAACUGAGCUGUCAAAACUAAGUGACUUGAUUGAGGCCAUGCAGCUGGCGAGGGGAGGACCAGGAUCUGAACCCAACUGGGUCUCCCAAGCCUGGGCCACUGAACCAUUUCACCUCUUGGAAAAACUUAAUGGUCAGAGUGGCCCACCCAGUCCAUGGACAGCAUGGAGUGGUAUGGUGGAAGAGGAGGGAAGAAAACCUGUGUAUUGAGCCUGCGUUCUUUGGAAGGAAGACCUUUCAGAUGACCUGACCAGUCCUCCUCUUCAGAACCCGGAUGCUGGCGAAGCAGUUUGAAUUUUAUGCUUGUGAAAGGGCUCCGUUGAUGAUUUUGAUGUCUGCAGCUUUCCACCCGUAUGACCAGACACAUUCUCACCAGCUCCAUAUAUCAAGAUAAGGAGGGGAAACCUGGUAGCUUUUCCUUCUGUUAACUGCUGGCAUCAGCUGAGUGAUGCAGACAUUUCUCUAUUAAGAACUGAGCUGAGACUGAAGCUUCAUUUUGUAUGAGACUGUGCAGAGGUCGUCUAAAGUCUCUCCCAGGUGUGGUUAUUAAGAUCCUGGAUUUGAAACUGUGACCUACUGGUUUGCCAGAUGCCAAGAACAAAUGCUCUGAAAUUGAUUUGCCAAAAGACAUGAUGAGCUGCUCUAACUUGCCUGGGAAGAGUGGAAUAUUUAACCUGUGGGUGAGACUCCCUCUUGCUACCUAUCAGCUUUGCCACUGCUCUGAUAGAGAAACAUCUUGGGAGCAGAGUUGGUAAGAGUGAAUCAGACGUAUCUGCCGGAAUAGGACUCGUGGCACCUGCUUGUUCGAUCCCUCAUUUCCACCCCCUCUAUCCUUUGCCUAUUGUCAGUCAUUGUGGUUGGUCCAUUCAGAAGAAUCGUGAAUAUUCAUAGCCACCCUAAUUUACCAAUAUAUAUUCAAUAAUGUCAGAGAUCUGUACAUGUGAUUCCUGAGCUUAUUACAGUAACAAGUUUCUCCAAUGCUACUGGG